GGGGCCAGGGGCUAGGAUGUUGGGGAGAAUCAAAUCAAUUUUAAUGCUUUCCUCCUUGGGAUUUACUAAUUAGGACAUAGGAUGUAAUGUCCACUCCAAAUCAAAGGAAGGAGGUGGGGCACAGGGGGCUAGGAUGUGGGGACAUUAAAACAAUUUUAAUGCUUUCCUCCUUGGGAUUUACUAAUUAGGAGUAGAAUUUAAUGUCUACUCCAAAUCAAAUUAAGUUUAAAUUUGAAUUUAGAAACUUUCCUAAAAUAGGAUUCGCUUUUAGGAAAUGAUUCAAAUUUCAAAUUUGAAUUGAUUGAUAGUAAAUAACUUUCCCAAAAGGAGUAAGCAAGAAAGGAAACUAUUCAAGUGGAGUUUGGAAAAAUUGGAGGUAAGGGAGGGAGAGGUAUGGCCGGCGGCUAGGUUGGGGUUUUGUAGGGAUUUCGAUGGGGGAAAGGGAGAAGGAAAGUGGAAAAAUUGGAGUUAAAGGGAGGGAGAGGUAUGGAAAGGUGGCUUGGCGAAGUGAGGAGUUAGCCGACGGUGAAGUGUGGCUAGGGUGGCCGGUGGCUUAGUGGUGGUGGGGGAAUCCUUAGGCCGGCGACUAGGGGAUGAAUGGAAGAGGAAAAGAGGUAGUGAAGAAGAACCACGAACCCGGCCGUCUCCAAGGUUGGUGGGUAAUCCGAUUUCCCUCUCCAAGGGAUUUCUCUCCCAAGCACUCUCAAGAUCUCACAAAAAACUCAAGCAAUGAAAAAUUUUUAUAAUUCAUUCAUUAAGUAUAAGAAGAGAAAUAUAAGGGCUAUAAAUAGCCUCAUACAAAUGACUCAAAAAGUAAAGACAACAAUACUCUUUGGGCAUGCACAUGACCUCCCUUUAAUAAAGGGUAAAAGUGAAAAAUAAUAAGAGCAAAUA